CGCGUUGGCCCAAUUGAUUGAUGGUGCUUGCACCUGAUUGAUUUUGGUCGCCAACGAGUGGCGGACGGGUGAGUAACACGUAGGUAACCUGCCCAGAAGCGGGGGACAACAUUUGGAAACAGAUGCUAAUACCGCAUAACAACGUUGUUCGCAUGAACAACGCUUAAAAGAUGGCUUCUCGCUAUCACUUCUGGAUGGACCUGCGGUGCAUUAGCUUGUUGGUGGGGUAACGGCCUACCAAGGCGAUGAUGCAUAGCCGAGUUGAGAGACUGAUCGGCCACAAUGGGACUGAGACACGGCCCAUACUCCUACGGGAGGCAGCAGUAGGGAAUCUUCCACAAUGGGCGCAAGCCUGAUGGAGCAACACCGCGUGAGUGAAGAAGGGUUUCGGCUCGUAAAGCUCUGUUGUUAAAGAAGAACACGUAUGAGAGUAACUGUUCAUACGUUGACGGUAUUUAACCAGAAAGUCACGGCUAACUACGUGCCAGCAGCCGCGGUAAUACGUAGGUGGCAAGCGUUAUCCGGAUUUAUUGGGCGUAAAGAGAGUGCAGGCGGUUUUCUAAGUCUGAUGUGAAAGCCUUCGGCUUAACCGGAGAAGUGCAUCGGAAACUGGAUAACUUGAGUGCAGAAGAGGGUAGUGGAACUCCAUGUGUAGCGGUGGAAUGCGUAGAUAUAUGGAAGAACACCAGUGGCGAAGGCGGCUACCUGGUCUGCAACUGACGCUGAGACUCGAAAGCAUGGGUAGCGAACAGGAUUAGAUACCCUGGUAGUCCAUGCCGUAAACGAUGAGUGCUA
rnacentral:rRNA from 2 species